GCAGGCGAGAGCAGAGGACUUCUCGGGGUGUGCGUACGACUUACGACUCGUCUACAAAAUACUGUAACUAUUCUGUAAGACUGUUAAUAUAGUUAAAAAGCCAAUAUAACUAUUUAAUCACCCAGAGAGAGAGAGAGAGAGAGAGAGAGAGAGAGUAAAUUAAGUGAACUCAAAGUGAACUUAACGGCUCCGCUCGGCCAACACAUAAUACACCUCACUUAAGUAAAGGCAAUUGUGUUGUCUCAACCACUUCAAUCAACUGGAGAACGCAGGCAACGGUACACCGGACCUAACGUGAGAUAACAGUUCGCGCCUUAAACAUAAACACUUAAAAACAGCUAACAAAAGUGAUGAACAGCGGUUUCCGGACCAUCCGAAGUGUUCAAUCGGUGUUAUCUUUCUCUCUCCUACAUAUUAACAGUCGCAAGUGUCGUCAAGGGGCAGACAGAGGAGUGAGUGCAAGAACGCUGACACAGGCCGCGCCCUCACCCUGCCCCGGUGGGUCGAGUCAGCACACUCCGCCGCACCACCCCGCGCGCCACUUCACCGCUCCGCUGUCGGGGGUCUCGUACCAAUUCCGAGACGCCCACUUGUCUGCCUACGACGCCGCCUGUCGUGGGUAGGCGCUUCCCUUCGCCGGACCAGGGCGGACUUUUGGCGGCGACCUUGGAGGAGCGUGGUCGCCCCCCCCCGCCCAUUCCUCACCGCUGCUAGGCGCCGACGCCUCCCGCCUAUUCCUCCCCGUUGCCGGGCACUGCCGGCCGUCCCUCUUGCCGCUCCAAGGACGAGUGCAAGCCAACCAAGGACGCGGGGAGAGCCAGUCUAGAACGAGGGCAAGCCAGCCGAGGACGAAGGAGUGCCACAGGCACCGUCUUCACAUUUUCAUGGUCAAUCUGAUCCGGAGUUAGAAACUUUGACCAAGAAAUUCCAGAAGUUGGUGCAAGAUUCGGAAGCGACCGCCGAGGAUGACAAUUCCCGUGUCCUAAGGAGCGGGUCAGCUCAUGACAGUGUCUCCUCCUCCUCCUCCUCCUCCUCCUUCUUCCCGCCCGCAUAAUAACAAAGGUAUCUUGCCUCUGGUUGCAGCCUGACGGAUCUCCACUACAGGUACAGAAUUGGUAUAUCUACAGCCUGCAAAGUUGUAAGAAGAGUGUGUUGUGCAAUAUGGGACAUGAUGAAGGUGGAGUGUUUUCCCCAACUCGAUGAAGAGGAGUGGCUGAAAAUUGCAGCAGGGUUUGAGAAACAUGCUCAUUUCCCUCACUGCAUUGGUGCAGUAGAUGGGAAGCAUGUUCGGAUUAUUAUACCUGAGCAUAGUGGUUCAAUGUUUUUCAAUUACAAAACCUAUUUUUCCAUUGUUAUUUUGGCUGUGGCUGAUGCUAAUUAUUGCUUUAGGUAUGUUGACAUAGGAUCUUAUGGCAAACAUGCAGAUUCAACCAUCUUUCAAGAAUCAAAUUUAUUUAGGCAGAUACAGCAAAAUGUAAUGAAACUCCCACAGCCUCAACUUUUGUCAGGCUGGAAUGAGGUGCUGUCUUAUGCUUUUGUUGGGGAUGAGGCUUUUGGAUUAUCUGUGAAUUUGCUUCGCCCAUACAGCGGCCACAACUUGACAAAUGACAAGAAAGUGUUUAAUUAUAGACUCUCACGUGCAAGGAGGUAUGUCGAAUGUGCGUUUGGAAUACUUUCAAAUAAAUGGAGAAUUUUCCACAGGCCCCUGAAUGUGAAUGUUGACUUUGCUGUUGAUAUUGUCAAGGCAUGUUGUGUCUUACAUAAUUUCGUCAGGCAGAGAGAAAAAGUAAAUUUUGCAGAUAUUUUAGAAGUCAAUGGAUUUGAAGAUGUAGAUCAUGCAGUGCAGGUAUGGCAGGGAGGUAGGUAUGCAAAAGAAAACAGGGACAAAUUCUGCACCUACUUCAACAGUGAGGCCGGAAAACUACCAUGGCAGUAAUAAGACAAUAUAAGAAAUUGGUAAUAACAUGCAUGAUAAAUGUGAAAAAAAAACUUUCAUUACUAUUGCAUUUAUGUUAUAAAUGUACAAAACGAAAAUAAAAUUACUGACCAAUUUGUUUCUUUUCUUCUGCA